GGCUCGGUGGUGUAGUUGGUCAUCACGUCAGUCUAACACUGCAGUUGGCACACUGAAGGUCCCGAGUUCAAGCCUCGGCUGAGUCA